rnacentral:rRNA from 1 species
GAUGAACGCUGGCGGCGUGCUUAACACAUGCAAGUCGAACGGAAAGGCUCCUGCUUGCUGGGGUACUCGAGUGGCGAACGGGUGAGUAACACGUGGGUGAUCUGCCCUGCACUUCGGGAUAAGCCUGGGAAACUGGGCCUACUACCGGAUAGGACGCUGCUUUGGAUGCCAUUGUGGAGAGUUUUUCGGCUUGCGCUGAGCUCUCGGCCUAUCAGCUUGUUGGUGGUGUAAUGGCCUAAGAAGGAGUAGGCUGAUGGCCGGCCUUGGAGGUUGGACGGCGACAUUAGUACUGCGAUACGGCCCAGACUCCUACAUGAGGCAGCAGUGGGGAAUAUUGCACAAUGGUCGCAAGCCUGAUGCAGCGACGCCGCGUUUGUAAUGACGUCCUUCUGGUUGUAAACUCCUUUCGCUUAAUACGACGCUGAAGUGACGGUACCUAAAGAAUAAGCACCGGCUAACUACGUG